rnacentral:tRNA from 1 species
GCAUAUAUAGCCGAAUGAUAAAAUUUUAUCUUUGCCAAGGAGAAGACACGGGUUCGAUUCCCGUUAUCCGCC